AGCCUCUUUGACUGGAAGGCAUCCCUUCCGGUCAAAGGGGUGGUACAUCCUCUUCGACUGGAAGGAAGAAAUUCCAGUCAAAGAGGCUGUAAAACCCCUUCGACCAGAAGGGAUUCCUUCCAGUCGAAGAGGCU
rnacentral:miRNA from 1 species